rnacentral:rRNA from 1 species
UACGUAGGGUGCGAGCGUUAAUCGGAAUUACUGGGCGUAAAGCGUGCGCAGGCGGUUUUGCAAGCCGGAUGUGAAAUCCCCGGGCUCAACCUGGGAAUGGCAUUCGGGACUGCAAGGCUGGAGUGCGGCAGAGGAGACUGGAAUUCCUGGUGUAGCAGUGAAAUGCGUAGAUAUCAGGAGGAAUACCGAUGGCGAAGGCAGGUCUUUGGGCUGACACUGACGCUCAUGCACGAAAGCGUGGGGAGCAAACAGG